AGUUUCAGAAAACAAGCUGGAUUUUUUAAAUUUUUUAUUUUUUUUAAUUUUUUUUUAAGGAGGGAAUUGGAGGAAGUGGCAAAGCUCCCAGGUUAUCCAGAGACCUGUGGUUUCUCCAUGCCCAGAGCUGCCCCAGCAGAAGCUUCUAGAAGAGUUAGAGGUCUUCAAUGCAACAAGUUCCCUUUUCCUCAUGUUAUUCCAGUGGUGUCCUGCUGUCCUGACUUUGUGAGGUUCCCAGAGUUACUCUGGACCCUGAUAAAUCAGACCUUAAAUAUGGAGAAAUUACCUGCACCUGGGAAUGGCAGGACAUGGAGGAUGUGA
rnacentral:lncRNA from 1 species